UNUGAAGUUAAAGGCUGUGGCUUANCCAUAGUACGCUUUGGAAACUGUUUAACUUGAGUGCAGAAGGGGAGAGUGGAAUUCCAUGUGUAGCGGUGAAAUGCGUAGAUAUAUGGAGGAACACCGGUGGCGAAAGCGGCUCUCUGGUCUGUAACUGACGCUGAGGCUCGAAAGCGUGGGGAGCGAACAGGAUUAGAUACCCUGGUAGUCCACGCCGUAAACGAUGAGUGCUAGGUGUUAGGCCCUUUCCGGGGCUUAGUGCCGCAGCUAACGCAUUAAGCACUCCGCCUGGGGAGUACGACCGCAAGGUUGAAACUCAAAGGAAUUGACGGGGGCCCGCACAAGCGGUGGAGCAUGUGGUUUAAUUCGAAGCAACGCGAAGAACCUUACCAGGUCUUGACAUCCCGAUGCCCGCUCUAGAGAUAGAGUUUUACUUCGGUACAUCGGUGACAGGUGGUGCAUGGUUGUCGUCAGCUCGUGUCGUGAGAUGUGGGGUUAAGUCCCGCAACGAGCGCAACCCUUAUUGUUAGUUGCCAUCAUUCAGUUGGGCACUCUAGCGAGACUGCCGGUAAUAAACCGGAGGAAGGUGGGGAUGACGUCAAAUCAUCAUGCCCCUUAUGACCUGGGCUACACACGUGCUACAAUGGCUGGUACAACGAGUCGCAAGUCGGUGACGGCAAGCUAAUCUCUUAAAGCCAGUCUCAGUUCGGAUUGUAGGCUGCAACUCGCCUACAUGAAGUCGGAAUCGCUAGUAAUCGCGGAUCAGCACGCUGCGGUGAAUACAUUCCCGGGCCUUGUACACACCGCCCGUCACACCACGAGAGUUUGUAACACCCGAAGUCGGUGAGGU
rnacentral:rRNA from 1 species